rnacentral:rRNA from 1 species
UACGGGGGGGGCAAGCGUUGUUCGGAAUUAAUGGGCGUAAAGGGUUCGUAGGUGGCCGACUAAGUCAGACGUGAAAUCCCUCAGCUCAACUGGGGAACUGCGUCUGAGACUGGCCGGCUUGAGUGCAGGAGAGGAACGCGGAAUUCCAGGUGUAGCGGUGAAAUGCGUAGAUAUCUGGAGGAACACCGGUGGCGAAGGCGGCGUUCUGGACUGCUACUGACACUGAGGUACGAAAGCGUGGGUAGCAAACAGG